AGGAAGCGGAAGACUAAUGACCGAAGCUUCAAGACUUUGACAUGUGUGAAAACAUGAAAUGACCCUUGGCUCUUAUUGUUCUUGCUGGUGUGGUAUGUUCACGGCUGAAAAGAUGGUCAGAAGGGGAAAGGAGGAAGUGAGAAGAAAGAAACAGGGAAAUGACAGAGUGUUGCUCAGUUACCCAGGCUGGAGUGCAAUGGCAUGAUCUUGGCUCACUGCAGCCUCCACCUCCUGGGUUCAAGCGGUUCUCGUGCCUCAGUCUCCCAAGUAGCUGGGAUUACAGCAGGCUGAGGAAUUACCAAGGAGGCAGGAGGUGGAGCAAAACACACCAAGCCUGGUGCCAAUCAUUGACAAUAUUAUGACCCUGCAUGUGAUGGAUCAGCUGACACCAUCCAGAUCGGUAAACUGGUUCAUCUGAUCUUGUGCCCUCCACCCAGGAACUGACUCAGCGCAAGAAGACAGCUUCGACUCCUUGUGAUUUCAUCCCUAACCAAUCAGCACUCCUGGCUCACUGGCUUCCCCCAACCCACCAAAUUGUCCUUAAAAACUCUGCUCUCCAAACGCUGGGGGAGACUGAUUUGAGUAAUAAUAAAACCCUGGUCUCCUGCA
rnacentral:lncRNA from 10 species